AGAGCGAACGCUGGCGGCAGGCCUAACACAUGCAAGUCGAACGGACCCUUCGGGGUUAGUGGCGGACGGGUGAGUAACACGUGGGAACGUGCCUUUAGGUUCGGAAUAGCUCCUGGAAACGGGUGGUAAUGCCGAAUGUGCCCUUCGGGGGAAAGAUUUAUCGCCUUUAGAGCGGCCCGCGUCUGAUUAGCUUGUUGGUGAGGUAAUGGCUCACCAAGGCUACGAUCAGUAGCUGGUCUGAGAGGAUGACCAGCCACAUUGGGACUGAGACACGGCCCAAACUCCUACGGGAGCAGCAGUGGGGAAUCUUGCGCAAUGGGCGAAAGCCUGACGCAGCCAUGCCGCGUGUAUGAUGAAGGUCUUAGGAUUGUAAAAUACUUUCACCGGUGAAGAUAAGUGACUGUAGCCGGAGAAACGAAGCCCCGAUAACUCGUAGCCAGCAGCCGA
rnacentral:rRNA from 1 species